ensembl:lncRNA
UGUACAUCAUUUAUUGCCAUAAAGAAAAGCAAUCAUACAUGUAAAGCCCCCCCAAAAUGGUUUUUUUAUACUAAACAAUGAUUUUUAAAAGUUGCUUAAAACAACUGACAUUCUUCAAAACACCUGAUUUCAUUCAGGUUAGCCAGAUGACUCGUGCCUGUGGAUAGCAUAUUGGAGCAUGCCAACAGUACACAUUCAUGCCAUCACGUACAACUGACUGACUGAUUCUCUGUACUCUAAGUGAAUGCUCACAUGCAGUGCAAAUGUAGGAAGAAUGCUCCACACAGGAAGUACACGGGAAAAGAAGCAAAUCCAACACGAAAAAGACACAUGCAAAUACAAGUGAAUUGGCUUAGAGAAAGAAUUGUUACCAAGGUCCACUGUUGGAAAUACAUCUGAAAGAGAUAACCUUGGAAGCUGGUCACCUGAACACAGUGAGAAAAAGGGUGUGAGAAAGGAAGGACCUGAUCAUCCAUCAGAUGGAAUCCAGACGUGACAAUUAGAGUUAAUGAACCAUGACCCAAGAAGCAGUUUCUGCACUUUACAAUCCUACUUCAUGGCCUCAGUAAAACUUUCAGGGCUUUUUUUUUUUUUCCCACAGAACACAUCUGCUCCAAAUUCUAAAGGGAGAAACUGGUUUCAGAAGUUACAUUUGGUUUCUUCCCUACUUUUCAGUCAUGUAUGAGGUAAAUGUAAGAACUUUGUUAACUAAAAAUCAGAAGAUACAGCUUCUACGAUGAGACUAUAUAGUAUUAUUAUAGUAGCUAUUUAAUUUAUAUUAAAAUUAAUGAACUGAUAAAGAUGACUGGAAAACACCAAGCAAAUAUUUUCAAAACAACCAGUAUAAUGGCUUCUAUGUUUAAAUACUGGUUUUGGCCUCAGAUAGCUAAGAGAAUGCCUCAAAAAGGGGGGGAAAAAAAAAAGUUGAUUAAUACCUAAGUCUCCUAUCAUUUCUUCACAGAGUAGGUAUAGCUAAUGAAGCAGUGUCUCUUUUUCCCCAAAGUCCAGAAGAUCUACUGAACUUCUAAUCCUGAGGUGGAAUUGAUCUUUCUUUCCCUACGAGCAAAGUAUUCCUGCAGUCAGAGCCUCUCAAUAGUUUCUCAGAAUCACAAAAAUUCAUCCAUUUGGUCUUCUGCUACUAUUUGGAAUGAAGGAUUGAAAUAGGGCCAAACAACUCUUGGUGGUUUUCUUCCCAUACCAGACACACCUUUUCUUGGCCUCCUCCAAAGAUGUGUUACCAAAACCAUAACAAUUCACUAUGAAAUCUGCUACCUAAAUUACAAUUGCUUUUUGGUUACAGUAGUGAAUUCUAAAAAAGCUUUUCCAGCAGCCCUGGUCAGAAAUCCACAAAGGAUACCUAGUGCAGAGCAGGAAGAUCUCAAGAGUUUGGAGAUAAUGUUUCACAGUCAGCUUACACUCCAGUUCCCUCUUCUCAUUGAGUUAGGAAGUGAUUGGUUGCAUCCUGCUUCUGGAGAAGACAAAGGUAUUUCAGCCAUUGGUACUCCAAACUCAAAGAAGACCAUUAUUAAGAAAUGAAAGUCCAACUUGGUCUUGUACAUGGAAAUGUCUGCAGUACUUCCAAGACUUCUUCAAGAGUCAAUGGGUCUCAUAGGAAUGGCUCACAGAGCUUUUUUUCUUACUGACACUGUCCUCAUACAUUCCAAUUUUUACAGUUAGUAUGGCAUUCUCUUCAGUGAAACUUGAGCGCACACACUCACGCUGUGUCAUGAGAAUUUUCUAGUCCUAUCACUGAAUUCCUUUCUUAUAGCUUAUAGUAAAAUCAUUUCCAAAGGAGGAGAAGAGAACAUUGCUGUUUUCUGUUCUAAUAUGAGCAUGUGAAUAAAUUAAAUGAUAUUUACAUCUUUAUAUAAGGAGCUUCACAAUUUUUCAAUAUAAAAAAAAUAAA